AGUGAACGCUGGCGGCAGGCCUAAUACAUGCAAGUCGAACGGCAGCACAGCAGAGCUUGCUCUGUGGGUGGCGAGUGGCGGACGGGUGAGGAAUACAUGGGAAUCUGCCCAGUCGUGGGGGAUAACGUAGGGAAACUUACGCUAAUACCGCAUGCGCCCUUCGGGGGAAAGCCGGGGACCUUCGGGCCUGGCGCGAUUGGAUGAGCCAUGUCGGAUUAGCUAGUUGGCGGGUAAUGGCCCACCAAGGCGACGAUCCGUAGCUGGUCUGAGAGGAUGAUCAGCCACACUGGAACUGAGACACGGUCCAGACUCCUACGGGAGGCAGCAGUAGGAAUAUUGGACAAUGGGCGC
rnacentral:rRNA from 1 species